rnacentral:lncRNA from 1 species
UUUGGGAAUAUGCUCAGCCGUGUUCACUCAUUCAUAGAACUGGAAGUGCAACACAGAGUUAACUUCCUUGGGUUAACUCUUGUCUAAUGAGAGACAGAAGCUGGUAGACAAAUAUUUCUUUCUUCACUGUCUUGCCCUGACAGCCCUGAAGGGCACUCUACAUGGUUUUUUAGAGGACUCCAGUAGGACCCAGCCACAAUGGCCUAUGGAACUGACAGCCUUCCUGGAGAGAUGACGCUUUCUUGAACUGGAGGAAUCAAUUAGUGACAUAUGCAAGAGAAGAGAGCAUGCCACACUUUGGGAGCAGCACGAGUUGAACCAAAGCACAGAGCUAUUGUUCUGGAAAGCACUCCCUAAUAGACAACCUGCAUGCAAGUAUCUGCCUCAGAGUUCAUUUUCUACACAAUUGGGCCUAAGGUCACACACGUUGUUCUGAAGAUGCUUUAAUGUUCUCCACGUGUAGUUGAUGGACGACUGAAGAUUAUCCUUGGAAUCGAGCAUCUCUUCCUAGGGUUUUAGGAUAGCUGACCUGACUUUGACGUGGCCAUCUCCAAAGCAUUUUUCUGACUGAGAGCCACAGGCCCUCAACAUCAACGUAAUUUGGAUACACUCAAGAAUCCACAGGCUUCACUCUGGAGAUGAAGGGACUUAAACCACAUAUGGAAAGAGAGCAACUGUUGCUUCAAGUAAACAGAUGGAACUGUG